UACGAAGGGGGCUAGCGUCGCUCGGAAUCACUGGGCGUAAAGGGUGCGUAGGCGGGUUUUUAAGUCAGGGGUGAAAUCCUGGAGCUCAACUCCAGAACUGCCUUUGAUACUGAAGAUCUUGAGUCCGGGAGAGGUGAGUGGAACUGCGAGUGUAGAGGUGAAAUCCGUAGAUAUUCGCAAGAACACCAGUGGCGAAGGCGGCUCACUGGCCCGGUACUGACGCUGUGGCACGAAAGCGUGGGGAGCAAGCAGG
rnacentral:rRNA from 1 species